AGAACUUAGCAGAGAUGCUUUGGUGCCUUCGGGAACUCUGAGACAGGUGCUGCAUGGCUGUCGUCAGCUCGUGUUGUGAAAUGUUGGGUUAAGUCCCGNAACGAGCGCAACCCUUAUCCUUUGUUGCCAGCGGUUCGGCCGGGAACUCAAAGGAGACUGCCGGUGAUAAACCGGAGGAAGGUGGGAAUGACGUCAAGUCAUCAUGGCCCUUACGGCCAGGGCUACACACGUGCUACAAUGGCGCAUACAAAGAGAAGCGACCUCGCGAGAGCAAGCGGACCUCAUAAAGUGCGUCGUAGUCCGGAUUGGAGUCUGCAACUCGACUCCAUGAAGUCGGAAUCGCUAGUAAUCGUAGAUCAGAAUGCUACGGUGAAUACGUUCCCGGGCCUUGUACACACCGCCCGUCACACCAUGGGAGUGGGUUGCAAAAGAAGUAGGUAGCUUAACCUUCGGGAGGGCGCUUACCACUUUGUGAUUCAUGACUGGGGUGAAGUCGUAACAAGGUAGGCGUAGCGAG
rnacentral:rRNA from 1 species